rnacentral:rRNA from 1 species
CGUACACUCCUGCGGGAGGCAGCAGUGGGGAAUAUUGGACAAUGGGCGCAAGCCUGAUCCAGCCAUGCCGCGUGAGUGAUGAAGGCCCUAGGGUUGUAAAGCUCUUUCACCGGUGAAGAUAAUGACGGUAACCGGAGAAGAAGCCCCGGCUAACUUCGUGCCAGCAGCCGCGGUAAUACGAAGGGGGCUAGCGUUGUUCGGAUUUACUGGGCGUAAAGCGCACGUAGGCGGACUAUUAAGUCAGGGGUGAAAUCCCGGGGCUCAACCCCGGAACUGCCUUUGAUACUGGUAGUCUUGAGUUCGAGAGAGGUGAGUGGAAUUCCGGGUGUAGAGGUGAAAUUCGUAGAUAUUCGGAGGAACACCAGUGGCGAAGGCGGCUCACUGGCUCGAUACUGACGCUGAGGUGCGAAAGCGUGGGGAGCAAACAGGAUUAGAAACCCCAGUAGUCCCAU